ensembl:lncRNA
AUGAGACCCCUCUCACCAGAAAGACGCGCCCCGUGCUCGCGCUUUGGUGGAGACCCUAGGCGCCGAGGCGGGGGCGUGUCCGCCGCUUUCCCUCCUCCCCCCGCCCCGCGGGGAGCUCGGCGCUCCUCCUCCGGCAGGGAAGCCAUUUCCCGAGCCCGCUCGCCCUCUGGUGGCCGGAGCCAGAGUCGAGGCCGGGCUGUGGUGACUCCGCCCGCCAGCGCACUGCCAGGGGACCGCGCGCGGCGGGGCGACUUCCAGCCUUCGCCCCAGAGGGACGCAGCUCGGCGCCUCCCACCGUGGAAUGGGGUGGCUGCGGGCCGUGUCCCCUCUCCCCACCUGACUCAGGCUCUUCCAGGGCGGAUCCCUCCAGGGGCGCAUCCCCGGAGUCUCAUCUCCGGAGAAGAGUCUGGCGCGGCCGUCUUCGCGGUGGGCGCUCGGGCCGCUUCUGAAGAACGCGCAAGUGAACCUCAGGAGGUCUCACCAUCGGGCCAAAAGAUACCUUGAGAAUGAACUCUAUGUAAAGGAAGCAGGAUGAGGGUGAUGGUGGAUCCAGACGGGGACCCAUAAGAAUAUAAGCGAAGGUCGUCAGCAUCAGCGACUUCCCCAGAACUGCUUUUUCUGUUGCAGAGGCUGACAAUUCUAUGGAAGCACAAGGUGUGCCUACAAAGCAAUGCAACACAAAUGCACUUCAGCAAAUAAGAACUUAAACAUACCAAUGACUAAUUAUCUUCUUCUCUAACUUAACCACAACAAUCAUUUUAGGACAAUCACUGAAUGCUAACAACGUUCUUGUAUGAAACAAUAUGAAAAUGCCAAUUUUAAAUUCCUUGAGAGCCUAUCAUUUUAUUUAAAUUUUAUUUUAAAUAUCUUUAGUAGUGAUUAGUCUUUCUCUUUUUUUUUUGAGUUGGAGUCUCGCUCUGUCACUGAAGAUGGCGUGCAGUGGCACAAUCAUGGUUCACUGAAGCCUCAACCUUCUAGGCCCAAGCGACCCUAGCCUCCCAAGUAGCUAAGGCUAUAGGCGUAUGCCGACACUGCACAGGAGUAAUUUUUUAUUUUUUAACGCAGAGCCUCACUCUGCUGCCGAGGCCUGAGCGCAGUGAUGUGAUCUGGGCUCACUGCAAACUCCACAUCCCAGGACAAGCUAUUUUCAUGCCUCAGCCUCCCAAGUAGCUGGGACUACAAGUGCACACAACCAAGCCUGACUAACUUUUGUAUUUUUAGUAGAGAUGGAGUUUCACCUUGUGUGCCAGGCUGAUCUUGAACUCCUGACCUCAAGUGAUCCACCUGCCUUGGCUUCCCAGAGUGCUAGGAUUACAGGUGUGAGCCACCGUACUCAGCAAAAUUUUUUUUUGAGACGGACUCUCAUUCUAUUGCCCAGGCUGGAGUGCAAUGGCACAAUCUCAGUGCACUGCAGCCUUGACCUCCUGGGCUCAAGUGAUCCUCCCACCUCAGCCUCCCAAGGACCUGGGACUACAGGUACACACCACCACAUCUGGCUAAUUUUUUUGUGUGUAUUUUUUUGUAGAGAUGGUAUUUCCCCAUAUUGCCCAGGCUGGUCUCAAAUUCCUUGGCUCAAGAAAUCCGCCUGCCUUGGCCUUCCAAAGUGCUGGGAUUACAGUCAUAAGCCACUGUGCCCAGGCCUGGCUAAUUUUUUAUUUUUUAUUUUUGGUAAAGAUGGGGUCUCACUGUGUUGCCCAGGCUAAUCUUGAACUCCUGGACACAGCCAAGGUGCCGAGAUGACAGGCAUUAGCCAUCGCAUCCAACUGAUAAACCUUUAUCCUUGGAUAAGUUAAUUGAGAGGUGUGGUUUUUUUCUUUCUUUUUUUAGAGAUGGGGUCUUGCUAUGUUGCCCAGGCUAGUCUUGAACUCCUAGCCUCAACAGGUCCCACUAACUUGGCCUCCCAAAGUGCUGGGAUUAUAGAAAUGAGCCACCAUGCCCAGCCAAGAGUUAAUUUUUUGAAAACAACAAAAUGUAUUCCAGGACAAGAUUGGGGUAUACAGAGGUGUACCAGUUAUCUAUUGUGGCUCCCCAAACAACAACAGCACCUAGUACAUGAUUCUGUGGGUUGGCAAUUCCGGCUGGGCUGAGCUGAGUGGUUCUUCCGGUCUUGUCCAGGCUCACCCAUAAAUCUGCAGCUAAUAAUAAUGGCAGUUAGUCUGAGCGCAGGCGUCAUUGACACUGACUCAAAUUUUGAUUGAGAUGACAUGGGUGACAAGGCCAUAUGUCUCUCAUGAUUUAGUAGGCUAGCCUGGCCUUGUUCACCUGGCGGCUCAGCAGGUUCCAAAUAAGAAAGAAGGCCGGAUGUGGUAGCUCACUCCUGUAAUCCCAACACUUUGGGAGGCUGAGGCAGGCAGAUCACAUAAGGUCAGGAGUUCGAGACCAGCCUGACCAACAUGGAGAAACCCUGUCUCUGCUAAAAUUAGCCAGGCAUGGUGGCACAUGCCUGUAAGCUCUGGAGGCUGAGGUAAGAGAAUCGCUUGAACCCGGGAGACCGAGGUUGCCAUGAGCCAAGAUUUUGCCACUGCACUCCAGCCUGGGCAACAAUAGCGAAACUCCAUCUCAAAAAAUAAAAAGAAAUAAUAAAAAAAUAGAACCCACAUUUUGAUGGGAAGAACUGCAAAGUCACACUACAAAGGGGGAUGAAGAUAGGAUGUGACAAAGAAUUGUGGUUAUGUUUACAAUCUGAAAUAAAUAUAAUUGAGCCAAUCAAACUAUUUUGGAUUUCUUUUAAACGUGAGUCUAAAGUCUGGUUUUUAUGGAUAACUGCCUCUUGAGGACAUUCUGAAACAGUACGCAAAUGUCUUUUUAAGUAAAAACAGCAUCAGCACCACUGAAACAAAUGUACUUUCCUCCCCGCCACCCCAAAACCCACCACCACCCAGAUGACCAGUCUGGAAGCCAAGGUCUAUGUUCUUGUGUGCUUGCUUAAAAACAUUAUGUUUUCAGCACCAUAAGACAGGGCAAAUUUUUUUUUUUUUGAGACAGAGUCUCAUUCUGUUGCCCAGGCUGGAAUGCAAUGGCAUGAUCUCAGCUCACUGCAACCUCCAUCUCCCAGGGUCAAGCAAUUCUCUGCCUCAGCCUCCUGAGUAGCGGGGAUUACAAGCACCUGCCACCACGUCUGGCUAAUUUUUGUAUUUUUAGUGAAGAUGGGGUUUCACCAUCUUGGCCAGGCUGGUCUUGAACUCCUGAUCUCAUGAUCCACCUGCCUCAGCCUCCCAAAGGACAAAAAUUUUUAAUGAAAAUAAAAAAACAUUUAAAAAAAUUUUUUCUGAGACAGAGUCUCACUCUAUCACCCCGUUGGAGUGCAGUAGCACUAUCUUGGCUCAUUGCAACCUCUGCCUCCUGGGUUCCAGCCAUUCUUCUGCUUCAGCCUCCUGAGUGAAUGGGACUACAGGCUCACGCCACCAUGCCCAGCAGCUAAUUUUUGUAUUUUUAGUAGAGAUGGGGUUUUGCAUGUUGCUGGUCUUGAACUCAUGUCCUCAAGUGAUCUGCCUGCCUCAGCCUCCUUAAGUGCUGGGAUUACAGGCAUGAGUCACCAUGCCUGGCCUACUUUGAUUAUUUUAUAUACAGAGUUUUCUGUUGUUGUUUCAGACAAGAUCUGACUCUGUCACCCAGGCUAGACCUCCUGGGCUCAAAUGAUCCUCC